rnacentral:rRNA from 1 species
GAUGAACGCUGGCGGCGUGCCUAAUACAUGCAAGUCGAGCGAACAGAUGAGGAGCUUGCUCCUCUGACGUUAGCGGCGGACGGGUGAGUAACACGUGGAUAACCUACCUAUAAGACUGGGAUAACUUCGGGAAACCGGAGCUAAUACCGGAUAAUAUAUUGAACCGCAUGGUUCAAUAGUGAAAGACGGUUUUGCUGUCACUUAUAGAUGGAUCCGCGCCGCAUUAGCUAGUUGGUAAGGUAACGGCUUACCAAGGCAACGAUGCGUAGCCGACCUGAGAGGGGGACGGGCCAGCAUGAAAGGACGCACCGGUCAGGACCCCGACGGGAGGAAGAAGUGGGGAUUUUGCCGAGAGGGGCAAAAGCCAGAAGGACAAACGCCGCAGGGGUGAUGAAGGUCUUCAGUACGUAAAACUCUGUUAUUGGGAAAAAAAAAAUGUGAAAUUACUAAGGCCCUUCUGGACGGAACCAAAACAGAAAGCCCCGGCAAACUACG